CCAUCCCUCCAGCUCCCUCCAGUGAAACACAGCCUGCUGAAGAAACUACACCACUAAUGUCCAGUGAAUCUCAACCAACCGGGGACCAACAAGAACACACUUCAAGAACAACUACCCCUGAUGUAACUAUGGAUGGUCAUGAUGAUGACCAGAGUCUGGAUGCCCUCGCCUACCGGUCUGGUACUGGACAGCUAGACAUUGAGAUGGGUCCAGUCCAAACACUGCCCAAAGAUCGUAACAGGAUUCUUUAAUAUCGCUGUUAGACCCAAGUUUCCCAUCGACCGUGAUUCACUAUUGAAGGGGAAUGACAUUACAGGAUACAAAGUAACGCAGUUCGAGAAAUUCUGGAUCAACAUGAAAGUGAAUCUGAUGGUUCAAACUCAGAAACUAGGGGAGGAAA